CAGGAUUUGACAUGGCCGGGACCACUAUGGAGACAUAGCUUCCUUCGGGACUCGGUCACAGGUGCUGCAUGGCUGUCGUCAGCUCGUGCCGUGAGGUGUUGGGUUAAGUCCCGCAACGAGCGCAACCCUCAUUGCUAGUUGGAGAUGUCUAGCAAGACUGCCGCGAUCAACGUGGAGGAAGGUGGGGAUGACGUCAAGUCAGCACGGCCCUGACAUCCUGGGCGACACACACGCUACAAUGGUCGGUACAGAGGGUCGCCAACCCGCGAGGGGGAGCCAAUCCCAACAAAACCGAUCUCAGUUCGGAUUGGAGGCUGAAACCCGCCUCCAUGAAGGUGGAGUUGCUAGUAACCGUGAGUCAGCCACAUCACGGUGAAUACGUUCCC
rnacentral:rRNA from 1 species